rnacentral:tRNA from 1 species
GGGCCGAUAGUUCAAUCGUAGAACAAUCGGUUGUCACCCGAUAGAUGUGGGUUCAAUUCUCGCUCGGUCCA